rnacentral:rRNA from 1 species
AUUGAACGCUGGCGGCAUGCCUUACACAUGCAAGUCGAACGGCAGCACGGGAGCAAUCCUGGCGGCGAGUGGCGAACGGGUGAGUAAUAUAUCGGAACGUGCCCAGUCGUGGGGGAUAACGCAGCGAAAGCUGUGCUAAUACCGCAUACGAUCUAUGGAUGAAAGCGGGGGAUCGCAAGACCUCGCGCGAUUGGAGCGGCAGAUAUCAGAUUAGCUAGUUGGUGGGGUAAAGGCCCACCAAGGCGACGAUCUGUAGCUGGUCUGAGAGGACGACCAGCCACACUGGAACUGAGACACGGUCCAGACUCCUACGGGAGGCAGCAGUGGGGAAUUUUGGACAAUGGGCGCAAGCCUGAUCCAGCAAUGCCGCGUGCAGGAUGAAGGCCUUCGGGUUGUAAGCUGCUUUUGUACGGAACGAAACGGUCUGCCCUAAUACGGUGGGCUAAUGACGGUACCGUAAGAAUAAGCACCGGCUAACUACGUGCCAGCAGCCGCCGUAA